AGUCCUUUGGCAAAAUGAAGUAUGUGGUGAUGUAAUUAGAGUGUUCUCAGAUCAGUUCUUUGAUACCACAGCAGUGUCUGGGAGAAGCAACUGCAAGGAGAACCAGCACAGUGUUGUGGGAUCACAUCAUUUUGGAACCCUGGGAUGACCAGCAACAGUUUCAGAACUUUUGAAUGAGGAAACAGACCUUCAUGGAGCGCAAUAUCGCUCCAGUGAAUAGGAAGGAGAUCAUCCAACAUGGUGGCAGACUCUGAAUUUCAGAACUCAAGCAAGGCUUGGCAAUUAGACUUCAAUCAGAGCUAUUAGGUAUUCCACAGACAAAACAUGGAGGCAGUCUUGCACUUGAAGAUUCUCCCAACAGUAUGUUAUGAACAAUGCAUUAUUUGCUAACAAAUGAAAAAGGACACCAUUUUUGCUUCCAGUUAACAAGGACUGGCUACAACACAAGACAGAAACAGGGAUUUCCAAAAUAUGAAUGCAAUCGAUAAAAGAAUUC